rnacentral:misc_RNA from 1 species
AUUGCCAGCAUCUUUGGCACUUGUAUACUUCUCUACAUCGUUCACUCUACACCCUUCAGCCCUAUCUCUGUUUGGGGAUAUAUCCAGCCCUUCGGUGAAAGCAUGGGACAAUACAUCCACUGAACUAGUACUACCCUGGCUGCUGAAUAUACGAGCACGUGCCUUAUCAUACUCUUCCUUCCUUUGCUCCACACUCCUACCGAGACUUCGCUUAGCCAUACCAUUACCUGCAUCAUCAGAUGACUUACUUGGCCUUGGCCUAAUAG